GACGAACGCUGGCGGCGUGCUUAACACAUGCAAGUCGAACGGUGAAGCGCCUUCCUUUUUGGUGGGUGUGGAUGAGUGGCGAACGGGUGAGUAACACGUGAGUAACCUGCCCCCUUCUUCUGGAUAACCGCAUGAAAGUGUGGCUAAUACGGGAUAUUCUGGGUCUGUCGCAUGAUGGGUCUGGGAAAGAUAUUGUUUCGGUGGGGGAUGGGCUCGCGGCCUAUCAGCUUGUUGGUGGGGUGAUGGCCUACCAAGGCGGUGACGGGUAGCCGGCCUGAGAGGGUGGGCGGUCCCACAGCGGCUGCGCCACCGACCAGCCUACUACGGGAGGCAGCAGGGGGGAAUAUUGCACAAUGGGCGCAAGCAUGAUGCAGCGCCGCCGCGUGAGGGAUGGAGGCCUUCGGGUUGUGAACCUCUUUCGCCAGUGAAGCAGGGCUGCCUCGUUUGUGGGUGGGUUGACGGUAGCUAGAUAAGAAGCGCCGGCUAACUACGUG
rnacentral:rRNA from 1 species